UACGUAGGGGGCAAGCGUUGUCCGGAAUCAUUGGGCGUAAAGCGCGCGUAGGCGGCCCUGUAAGUCCGUUGUGAAAGUCAAAGGCUCAACCUUUGAAAGCCGGUGGAUACUGCCGGGCUAGAGUCCGGAAGAGGCGAGUGGAAUUCCUGGUGUAGCGGUGGAAUGCGCAGAUAUCAGGAGGAACACCAAUAGCGAAGGCAGCUCGCUGGGACGGUACUGACGCUGAGACGCGAAAGCGUGGGGAGCAAACAGG
rnacentral:rRNA from 1 species